AGUGAACGCUGGCGGUAGGCCUAACACAUGCAAGUCGAACGGCAGCACAGUAAGAGCUUGCUCUUACGGGUGGCGAGUGGCGGACGGGUGAGGAAUACAUCGGAAUCUACUUUUUCGUGGGGGAUAACGUAGGGAAACUUACGCUAAUACCGCAUACGACCUACGGGUGAAAGCAGGGGAUCUUCGGACCUUGCGCGAUUGAAUGAGCCGAUGUCGGAUUAGCUAGUUGGCGGGGUAAAGGCCCACCAAGGCGACGAUCCGUAGCUGGUCUGAGAGGAUGAUCAGCCACACUGGAACUGAGACACGGUCCAGACUCCUACGGGAGGCAGCAGUGGGGAAUAUUGGACAAUGGGCGCAAGCCUGAUCCAGCCAUACCGCGUGAGUGAAGAAGGCCUUCGGGUUGUAAAGCCCUUUUGUUGGGAAAGAAAAGCAGCAGGCUAAUACCCCGCUGUUCUGACGGUACCCAAAGAAUAAGCACCGGCUAACUUCGUG
rnacentral:rRNA from 1 species